AUGUCCCCAACCAUUGGGGUCCCCAUGUCCCCAUCUCCACCCCAACAUCCCCAACCAUUGGAGUCCCUACCUCCCCACCCCGAUGUCCCCAACCAUUGGGGUCCCCAUGUCCCCAUCUCCACACCAACACCCCAAACCAUUAGGAUCCCCAAAACCCCAUCCCAACAUCCCCAACCAUUGGGGUCCCCAUGCCCUCAUCUCCACCCCAACAUCCCCAACCAUUGGGGUCCCUACCUCCCCACCCCGAUGUCCCCAGCCAUUGGGGUCCCCAUGUCCCCAUCUCCACACCAACACCCCAAACCAUUAGGAUCUCCAUCCCCCCAUCCCAACCAUUGGAGUCCCCACCUCCCCACCCCAAUGUUCCCAACCAUUGGUGCCUCCAUGCCCCCAUCUCCACACCAGUGCCCCCCAGCAUCGGUAUCCCUAUGUCCCUAUUUCCAUCCCAGCAUUGCCAACCAUUGGGGUCUCCAUGUCCUCAUCUGCACCCCAAUAUCCCAAACCAUUGGGGUCCCCAUGUCCCCACCCCAGUGUCUCCAACCAUUGGGGUCUUCAUGUCUCCAUCUCCAUACCAAUAACCCAACAAUUGGGGUCCCCAUGUCCCCACCCCAAUGUCCCCAGCUAUUGGAGUCUCCAUGUUCCCAUCUCAUCUCAAGGUUCUCAGCCAUCGGGGUCCCCAUGUCCCCACUCCAACGUCCCCAAAAAUCGAGUCCCCAUGUCCUCAUCUCAACAUCCCCAACCACUGGGGUCCCCCUGUCCUUAUCUCCACCCCAAUGUCUCCAGCCAUUGGGGUCUCCAUGUCCUUGUGUCCAUCCCAACAUCCCAGCCAUUGGGGUUCCCAUAUCCCCACCCCCAGGUCCCCAUUUCUCAGGGUCCCCACCUCUACCCCAAUGUCCUCAAACAUUGGGGUCUUCACGUCCCGUGUCCCCAUCCCAAUGUUUGCAUCCCUUCAGGUCCCCAUCUCCUGGGGUCCCCAUUCCAAUGUCCCCACUUCUUGGGGUCCUUAUCCCUGACGGUCCCUAUUUCUUGGGGUCUCCACCCCAAUGCCUCCAUUUCUUGGGGUCUCCGUCCUUUAGGGUCUCCAUCCCAAUGUCCUUAUUUCUCAGUGUCCCCACCUCAAUGUCCCCACCCCUUCAGGACCCCAUUUCUUGGGGUCCCCAUUUUAAUGUCCCCACUUUUUGGUGUUUCCAUUUGUUAGGGUCCUCAUCCCUUCGGAUCCUCAUUUCCUGGGGUCUCCAUCCCAGUGUCCCCAUUUCUCGGGAUUCCCAUCCCAAUGUCCCCAACCCCUCAACUCCCCAUUUCUUGGGGUCUCCAUCCUUUCGGAUCCCCAUCCCUUACAGUCCCCAAUUCCUGGAGUCCCCAUCUCAGCGUCCCCAUCUCUUGGGGUCCCCAUCCUCAGUGUCCCCAUUUCUCAAGUUCUCCAUCCCAAUAUUCUCCAUCCCAACGUCUCCAAACUUUAAGGUCCCCAUCCCAAUGUCCCCACUCCUUUGGGUCCCCAUUUCUUCGUGUCCCCACCCUGGUGUCCCUCCCCAGCCCCCCCCGUGUCCCCAUGUCCCCGCUCACCCGCUGUCCCCAGCGCCAGCGCCAGGCAGGCGGCCAGGAGGGCCCGGCAGGACGGAGCGGCCAUGGGGACGGGGACGGGGACGGGGACGGGCCCUGGGUGGCAGCCUGGGGGAAGGACAGCGAUUGGCACCGCCACCCACGGCCCCACCAUGUCCCCACGUCCCCACUGCCAUGUCUGUCCCCAUCCCUGUCCCAUCCAUGUCCUCAACCGUGUCCAUCCCUGUCCCUAUCCCUGUCCCCAUUUGUCCCCAUCCAUGUCCCAUCCAUGUCCCCAUCCAUGUUCCCAUCCAUGUCCCCAUCCAUGUCCCAUCCAUGUCCCAUCCCUGUCCCCAUCCAUGUCCCAUCCAUGUCCCAUCCAUGUCCCCAACCAUGUUCCCAUCCAUGUCCCCAUCCAUGUCCCAUCCAUGUCCCAUUCCUGGCCCCAUUUGUCCCCAUCCAUGUCCCCAUCCCUAUUCCCAUCCUUGUCCCAUCGCUGUCCCCAUCCUCGUCCCAUCCAUGUCCCUUCCAUGUCCCCAACCCUGUCCCUUCCAUGUCCCAUCCCUGUCCCAUCCCUGUCCCAUCCGUGUCCCCAUCCCUGUCCCAUUCCUCAUCCCCAUGCCCUGUCCCCAUCCCAGUCCCAUCCCAGUCCCAUCCCUGUCCCAUCCAUGCUCCUAUACCCUGUCCCAUCCCUGUCCCAUCCGUGUCCCCUCCCAUCCCCUCCACUGUCGCCUCUGUCCCCAGUCUGUCUCGUCCUUCCCCCCCGUUCCCGUGUUGUCCCCUCUGUCCCCUCCUGUCCCCAUGCCGUUUCAUCCCGUUCCACCAUCGCCUUCUGUCCCCCUCCUGCCCCCCCAUCCCAUUCUGUCUCCCAUU
rnacentral:lncRNA from 1 species